rnacentral:tRNA from 1 species
ACUCCUUAUAGGCGGCAUUCGUCUUAGCAAGAAUUCACAACAAGUUGUUCUUUAGUUUAGUUUGUUUAUAAGCCUUAGGCGUAAGCAAGUAACAGCAAAUCCCCUUUAAGGGAUUUACUCUUGCGAAGCUAAAAAAGCGGUGCUUUUUUUAUACGCUUCUCAGGCCUGUAGCUCAGCUGGUUAGAGCACCGUGUUGAUAACGCGGGGGUCGGCAGCUCAAGUCUGCCCAGGCCUACCAUUAUUUAGGUACAGUGCUUUAGUAAACGGUUGGAAACGCUCAAGCGUAAGCAAGACUUAUAGAAAAUUGCCUUUAAGCAAUUUUCUCUUGCGAGCCUAGCGAAGCAAGGGGCUUUAAAGCUUAAGUAAGGUUAGGAUUAUUAGCAAAUCCCCUUUAAGGGAUUUACUCUUGCGCUCGGAUCAAAGCAGUGCUUUGAUUGUAUCCUCGCUCAGGGGCCAUAGCUCAGUUGGUAAAGCGCCUGCCUUGCACGCAGGAGGUCAACGGUUCGACUCCGUUUGGCUCCACCAUUAUAUAAACAGCGCGAUUAGAUUGAAUAUAAA